UAUGUCAUUGUACGCAUAUCCUAUAACGGCAGUGCUUAGACAGAUGCUCAUUCAAAUACC
rnacentral:misc_RNA from 1 species